AAUAUUGGACAAUGGGGGGAACCCUGAUCCAGCCAUGCCGCGUGUGUGAAGAAGGUCUUCGGAUUGUAAAGCACUUUAAGUUGGGAGGAAGAGUUGUAGGCUAAUACCUUGCAAUUUUGACGUUACCAACAGAAUAAGCACCGGCUAACUUCGUGCCAGCAGCCGCGGUAAUACGAAGGGUGCAAGCGUUAAUCGGAAUUACUGGGCGUAAAGCGCGCGUAGGUGGUUCAGUAAGAUGGGUGUGAAAUCCCCGGGCUUAACCUGGGAACUGCUUUCAUAACUGCUGAGCUAGAGUACGGUAGAGGGUAGUGGAAUUUCCUGUGUAGCGGUGAAAUGCGUAGAUAUAGGAAGGAACACCAGUGGCGAAGGCGACUACCUGGACGAAAACUGACGCUGAGGCACGAAAGCUAGGGGAGCAAACA
rnacentral:rRNA from 1 species